rnacentral:pre_miRNA from 1 species
AAAACAUUGGGACCAUCAAUCUACUGAAUAAUUUCACCCUUUCAGUGAAAGAUCUUCCCUUUGUCGU